rnacentral:misc_RNA from 1 species
AAGGUCGUAACAAGGUUUCCGUAGGUGAACCUGCGGAAGGAUCAUUACAAGGUUCUUAGUGACAUCUCGAAACGAGAUCCCUCCCAAGGUAUCCACCCGUGUCUAUAUACUCUUGUUGCUUUGGGCGGGGUCGUGGCCUCCACCUGCGGGCUCUGCUCGUACGUACCCGGCCAGAGGGACCAAAGCUCUGAAUUGGUUAGUGAUGUCUGAGUACUAUAUAAAGUUAAAACCU